GGCGGCGUAGCUCAGUCGGUUAGAGCAUGCGGCUCAUAUCCGCAGAGUCGUGGGUUCGAGUCCCUCCGCCGCCACCA
rnacentral:tRNA from 1 species